GUUCUUCAGUGGGAGUGGUGCAUGUGAUCCUUUGACCUGAGAUCAUGGUACCUUAUGUACAUAAAUUCUUACUUUGGUUUAUUCCCUAAUACACCACUUUGAGAUGUGUGUGGGAUAUUUUGGGUAUGGUGAAGUGUGCAUGGAGAUUGUGAGUAGUCAAUAAAGAAUCGAUCACUCCUUGUAGGAGGAGAGAACAUCCUAUGUGAUCUCAUA
rnacentral:lncRNA from 1 species